UGGCUCAGGACGAACGCUGGCGGCGUGCCUAAUACAUGCAAGUCGAGCGAGCGGAACUAACAGAUUUACUUCGGUAAUGACGUUAGGAAAGCGAGCGGCGGAUGGGUGAGUAACACGUGGGGAAUCUGCCCCAUAGUCUGGGAUACCACUUGGAAACAGGUGCUAAUACCGGAUAAGAAAGCAGAUCGCAUGAUCAGCUUUUAAAAGGCGGCGUAAGCUGUCGCUAUGGGAUGGCCCCGCGGUGCAUUAGCUAGUUGGUAAGGUAAAGGCUUACCAAGGCGAUGAUGCAUAGCCGAGUUGAGAGACUGAUCGGCCACAUUGGGACUGAGACACGGCCCAAACUCCUACGGGAGGCAGCAGUAGGGAAUCUUCCACAAUGGACGCAAGUCUGAUGGAGCAACGCCGCGUGAGUGAAGAAGGUUUUCGGAUCGUAAAGCUCUGUUGUUGGUGAAGAAGGAUAGAGGUAGUAACUGGCCUUUAUUUGACGGUAAUCAACCAGAAAGUCACGGCUAACUACGUGCCAGCAGCCGCGGUAAUACGUAGGUGGCAAGCGUUGUCCGGAUUUAUUGGGCGUAAAGCGAGCGCAGGCGGAAGAAUAAGUCUGAUGUGAAAGCCCUCGGCUUAACCGAGGAACUGCAUCGGAAACUGUUUUUCUUGAGUGCAGAAGAGGAGAGUGGAACUCCAUGUGUAGCGGUGGAAUGCGUAGAUAUAUGGAAGAACACCAGUGGCGAAGGCGGCUCUCUGGUCUGCAACUGACGCUGAGGCUCGAAAGCAUGGGUAGCGAACAGGAUUAGAUACCCUGGUAGUCCAUGCCGUAAACGAUGAGUGCUAAGUGUUGGGAGGUUUCCGCCUCUCAGUGCUGCAGCUAACGCAUUAAGCACUCCGCCUGGGGAGUACGACCGCAAGGUUG
rnacentral:rRNA from 1 species